rnacentral:rRNA from 1 species
GACGAACGCUGGCGGCGUGCUUAACACAUGCAAGUCGAACGGAAAGGCCCUGCUUGCAGGGUACUCGAGUGGCGAACGGGUGAGUAACACGUGGGUGAUCUGCCCUGCACUUCGGGAUAAGCCUGGGAAACUGGGUCUAAUACCGGAUAGGAGCCAUUUUUAGUGUGAUGGUUGGAAAGUUUUUUCGGUGUAGGAUGAGCUCGCGGCCUAUCAGCUUGUUGGUGGGGUAAUGGCCUACCAAGGCGGCGACGGGUAGCCGGCCUGAGAGGGUGGACGGCCACAUGGGGCCUGGAAUCCGGCCCAGACCCCUACGGGAGGAAGCAGUGGGGAUAAUUGCACAAUGGGCGCAACCCUGAGGCACCGACGCGGCGUGGGGGUUGACGCCCUUCGGUUUUUAACCUCUUUUCGCUAGGGACGAAGUUUUUUGUGACGGUACCAAGUUAGGAAGCACCGCCUACCUACGU